CCUGACGGUAGUCGUAUGCUCGUCUCCGAGACUAAGCCAUGCAAGUCCAAGUACACGUCCUUGAACGACGGAAACUGCGAACGGCUCAUUAAAUCAGUUGCGAUCUACUCGGCGUUCCGCGCCGCCGGAUAACCGUAGUAAUUCUAGGGCUAAUACGUGCGAAGCGCCCGAAGCCGCGAGGCGACGGGCGUUCUCGCCGGAUGUAGGAACCGACCCGGGGGACCGCCGGGGGCAACCCGGCGCCCCCGAGACGGGGCGAACCACGGUGAAAUGACGGAUCGUCGGCCCCGCGCCGGCGACUCGCCGAAUGAGUUUCUGACCUAUCAACUCGAGACGGCGGGGUAGAGGCCCGCCGCGGUAACGACGGGUAACGGGGAAUCAGGGUUCGAUUCCGGAGAGGGAGCCCGAGAAACGGCUACCACUUCCAAGGAAGGCAGCAGGC
rnacentral:rRNA from 1 species